rnacentral:snRNA from 1 species
AGCGAACCGGGAAGAGCCCAG